rnacentral:rRNA from 1 species
ACGGGGCCCGCACAAGCGGAGGAACAUGUGGUUUAAUUCGAUGAUACGCGAGGAACCUUACCUGGGCUUAAAUGUAGAGUGCAUUCCCGAGAAAUCGGGAUUUUCUUCGGAACUCUUUUGCAAGGUGCUGCAUGGUUGUCGUCAGCUCGUGCCGUGAGGUGUCGGGUUAAGUCCCAUAACGAGCGCAACCCUUAUCGUUAGUUGCCAGCGGGUAAUGCCGGGAACUCUAGCGAAACUGCCGGUGUAAACCGUGAGGAAGGUGGGAUGACGUCAAAUCAGCACGGCCCUUAUGUCCAGGGCUACACACGUGUUACAAUGGCCGGUACAGAGGGCAGCUACCUGGAGACAGGAUGCGAAUCUCCAAAGCCGGUCUCAGUUCGGAUCGGAGUCUGCAACUCGACUCCGUGAAGCUGGAUUCGCUAGUAAUCGCGCAUCAGCCAUGGCGCGGUGAAUACGUUCCCGGGCCUU